rnacentral:rRNA from 1 species
AUUGAACGCUGGCGGCAUGCUUUACACAUGCAAGUCGAACGGUAACAGGGAGCUUGCUCCGCUGACGAGUGGCGAACGGGUGAGUAAUAUAUCGGAACGUACCCAAGAGUGGGGGAUAACGUAGCGAAAGUUACGCUAAUACCGCAUACGAUCUAUGGAUGAAAGCAGGGGAUCUUCGGACCUUGUGCUCCUGGAGCGGCCGAUAUCUGAUUAGCUAGUUGGUGAGGUAAAGGCUCACCAAGGCGACGAUCAGUAGCUGGUCUGAGAGGACGACCAGGCACACUGGAACUGAGACACGGUCCAGACUCCUACGGGAGGCAGCAGUGGGGAAUUUUGGACAAUGGGCGCACGCCUGAUCCAGCAAUGCCGCGUGAGUGAAGAAGGCCUUCGGGUUGUAAAGCUCUUUUGUCAGGGAAGAAACGGGAGUGGCUAAUAUCCAUCCCUAAUGACGGUACCUGAAGAAUAAGCACCGGCUAACUACGUGCCAGCAGCCGCGGUAA